AUGAUAAUGUUUAGGUUAAUUUAAAUUGCUUAGAAAGUACUAUAUUUAUGUGAAUCAUGACAAUGUCGACAUGCGGAACAAAUUGGUACUAUGAUUCUACACAUUUGUUUGUUUCUACACUAAAUCAUUUUGUGAGUUUUGCUUGUGAUCUACUGCACUGUUAUAUAAUUCUGAAUUUCCAAUGAUAUAAAUGUGUAAUUUAGAUGUUCUUGUCGGUGACUUAGUGAAAAAUAAUGUGCAAUUUUAUUUGUUCUUUGAUUACUCUGUUCCUCUGUCUUUCGGUUAGGGAAUUUCUUUCCAAUUUUUUACAUUCUGUAACUAGCAUUCUUAGUGCUUUACUCGCGUUCGAUCAAAGUCCUCAAUCAGAGUUAUUUAGUGCAAAAGAUACAAUUAAGAUUGUUUUGUCAAUUUAUUAGAAAUUAGAAUUGGGGUUUUGUUUGUUGGGCAGCUUGGGCUUGUGGACUUGUUAACUAUAUAUAUGUUUUAAAUGCUUUUAACGAAGAUUCGUAUAUGAACACAACUUAUCAAACAACUGUGUUGGUACUUGAUUUUGUAUAAGAAUUGCAAGCAAAAAUAUCCAUUUGUUGGUACCUGGUUUAUCUUUUUUUUUUAGAUUAAAUUACAGUUUGGGUAAGUAUUAAGUUCCACUUAAAAUAAGUGGAUUACAUCAUGGUAUUGUUAACUUACAUUGCAAGCGGGCCAUUAGAAAAUCAUGCUAGUAAAAGUAUAAUUUUAGUAGGAUAUGCAGUAAUUAGUAUUUGGUUUCCGUUUAUCUCACUUUGAGUAGGCUCUGAAAUAUGGAAGAAGGGUAUAAAUUUAUUCUCAGAGUGGAACUUUUUAUAUAUAUUGACAAGAUUACCGACAAGAACAUACCAACUAAGUCUACCCUACAUACCCUAAAAAUAAUUAGAUAAUUUUCAUUCCUGUUCACAUACCACGUUUGAAACGUACCACGUGAAAACUUAAUAAUUGUGUCAUUAUUGCAUUAUGGAUUUGUAUGCAAUGUGUUCCUAAGUUAGUUUUGCUUACAUAUGAUAUGAUAAUGUUAAACUUGAGGUGAAUUUGGAAGAAUGAUUAGAAGUUUUAUAUUAAGACUUGUUAUUUAAGUUUGUUUCUCUUAUCUUAAUGUUAAGAAUUUUUCUUCUUUCUGCUGUUCUUCUUAAUUGGAUCUUUGUUUAGGAACAGCAUAGAAAAGCUGCCAAAUUAACAUUGUCGGUGUAUCAGUAUUGUUAGAGUGAAUAUGGUCCAUAUAACUAACAAGCCCUACACAACCACGAAAUAGUUUUUAAUGAAAUGACAAGUAAUCAAUGACUUUUAAUUUUGGUUAAUUUCUUCUUGAAAAGUUCUAUUACACAUGUGAGCAUACAUACAGUAUGGUAGAAUACAUGAAAAGUAUCACGAGGAUCUGCAAAUUGUAUUUUCUUUUCUAAUUUUAUUGCUCAUGAACAGAUGGUGAACGUGAGACAAAUACCAACCGCAACUGGAGAUCCUGCUUGAGUGUAGAAUAUCAGAUAAGUUGAAAAGGGAAUUUUAUAGGCCACACAUAUCAACUGGUUAAUGAACAGUAUUGAUGGUUAACAAUUAUGCAUACAAGGCUAUCAUGGCAGAAAUGAAAAUGCUAAGGUGGAUGUACUGAAAUACAAUGAUGUACUGAUUGCAGAGGAAUGCAUUUGUGGAGAAGUGCUAGUGGGGCCUUCUGAAGAGAAUUGGGGAUACUGGAGAUUGUAAUGGUUUUGGCACAUGUUCAUAGACCAGAAAAUUAACCAAAUACAAUGUUGAGCAUAGUCGAAAUGGCGAGAGAGACGUGCUAGACGGUCAAUUAUUUCAGGAUUGAGAGCUUUGUUGUGUUGGCUUGAGUACAUCAUCUAGAUUCACUCACAUGUAAUGCAUUGUUUUCAAUAAACACAUCAUGAGUAUUCUUCUGCCAAAACAAUGGCAUUUUUGAUGUAACAUUCAUAUUUUUUCCAACACCAUGGAGUUUGUCAUUGUGUUUUUUGAAAUUUGUAUCAGCAAAUAUUUUGUAGUAAUUGUUUGAUUCCUUUUUCACUAAAUGAAAAUAUAGAUGUCAGUUGAUCUACUCUACUAUCAUCAUUAGAAUCUGGACCAAACACAACUUUUUACUAUUGAUUUUCUAAGUAGAAAUGCUUUGAGCCUCUCACUCUCAGAGGCCACUCAUUGCAUUAACUACUUUAUUUCUAUAUCACGUUCAUGGGCAAGGCAAUGUGCUACUUGACCUCACUUUCUUGGGUUCAGAGAAUAUGCACUUUGACUUUGCACCAGAGAAGCAACAACCAUGGCAGCAAUGUUUCUUAACAAGGCAACAAUAUGCUAUCAAAGGGUAGAUGAGGAUGGGCCCAUUGCUGGUGUCUGUAAGGAUAUUGCCAAAUACUUCUUCAGCAAAAUCGUGUAUUUUGCUUUUCGGGAUAAGAAGAUUUAGCCAUGGAUGUGGAACUUCCCACAAGCCUUUGGACCUUAGUUUGACCUCAGACACAUGAACUCUAUCCAAGAAUUCAAUGUAUGGAACUUCUGAUAGGAAAAGUGUUGAUGGGAUAUAUCUCAAUUGAGACAGCAACUUCACUAUCUCCUGCAUGUAUUUGGCCAAUUCUAAGCAAAAUAGAGUUUUUCCAUCUGAUUCGAACUGGCUUGCUUGUACUGGAUCUUGAGGGUUAAAGGAUGACCUCCAGUUAUUUAACAGACCAGUUCUAUUUAUUAUGACAAAUCCUUCAAGGGAUAUUCUUGCCCUCGUUAUGAUACCAAACUGGCCGAGUCCUCCCAGGACGCUGUGGAAUAGGUCCCCAUUCUGCUUCUCUGAGCAAUUCACAAUCUCGCCUUUUCCUGCAUUCAGUUUCAUGUUUUGCGUAAGAAUUUAUGUUUCUCUCGGACUUCUUUGUGAUUUGCUUAAGCAAAUAUAUACACAUUUAUGAGUUUUAAUUUGCAGAAAUUGAAUAAUUUCCUGUGGCGGAAAUAGAUGGGCGGCGUGGUUUAUUAUCUCACAAUACUAUUAUGACCUCUUUCUAAGAGUAAAUAUGUGUUAUCAAUAAUUGAGUUGCUGGCAGUUUAUUUUAACUAACCUGUAACGACUUCGAGCUGAUGGACAUUACUUAUCUGGGGGCCAUGCUGAAAUGCCUGCCCACUAACACCGGCAUUGGACAAGGUGCCACCGACAGUUAGAUGUAGGUAGUCUGUCCAUGAUUUUGGUGUUAAUCCGUGUUUCAGGCUUUCACGCAAGAUAUUUAUCCAUAACUCGCCGCCAGAGGCAUCCACGUAUGGACGUUUUCCACCAUGAACUUGCAUUUUAGAGCCCUGGAGAGAUUCCAUGUGGACAACAACUCCUCGAUGCGCUUGUGCCUGACCCUGGAGUGAGUGACCAUGGCCUCUUGCUGCGAUGGUGAGCUCUGAAUGAGAACCCAUCUGCCAAAUAUGUCUGAUAGUUGCAGCAAUAUCGGAAACUGACCUUGGAUGAAGUACUGCAACGGGGAAAAACCGAAACCUAUUUCCAAAGUCUUUUGAUGCGUGGUGGACAUCAUCAAAGACGAAAUGGCCGUCCACAGAAAGUGUUUUCAACGAAGAAGGAUUGUUGGAAAAGCAAAAGUUUACUCUUAUGGUCAUGCAGCUGAGGAACAAGAUAAUGAACCAUCUUAUAAAUAACAUAUUAUGGAAGCUAACGGGUCGGCAUGUCAUGUUUCAGCUGGAAAAAUUAGGCGGAGGUAAGGGCUAAAGGUGUUUAAGGGAGAGCAAAAGAAAUGAAAGGUUGAGGAGAGAAUUUAAAGGGGAGAAGAUUUUGGGGGAGAAUAUGAGUGGACCAAUAUUUGUGAGAGAAUCUACUUGAGUUCUUUGAUUUAUAAGAGAAAGAGAAGCCAUGACUGAGUCACUCAUAUAAUACCAAGUUGAACCAGAAAGAAAGAUUUGAGAGAUCUUCUAAUUGACACUUUUGUUCAAACAGUUGCAACCACAAUAAGGACUUUUUUUUUACCAAAGACAAACAUGUCUAGAAAGUUUUUUUAUCCUCAGCCAUGUUAAGGAUACUGUCCUAUUUUUAGAAAGAAAAGUAGAUCGUAUCUCUCUGCCUCCUGUAUGUGUCAGAAUGCUGCCUGCUGCUGUGCCUGUGGGGUCUUUCAUGGGCCCUUACUUCACGUGAAUUUCAAUUUCCUGUGUGCUUUAUGGGGGUGAAGGGUUAUGAUUGGUUACGUUGGGACCCUCUCUUAUUUGUUGAAGUGGUCGACUGUAUAUUUUGUGGAAUAAAAAAAUAACUUUCACAUUUUUUCUCUAUUGCAGUACAAGUGAGCUUAUGUUUGGAGAGUAUGAUAGAAGUUUCAUUUUGGAGUUAUAGCGAUAGGCAUUGGCCAUGGGAUGACAGCUUGGAGGAAACACCGAAAACGAAAGACUUCUCCUCCUGCUAAAUGGACAAAUAUUUAUGAUUGUCAUGCUUAUAUGUUCCUUAACUGCAAUUAUUGGGUUUUUAACCUCUUGUUACAACUUGCACUGCGUUUUCAUAUUUGCAGCCUCAAAAGGAAGCAUCUCAGACUUCCCAUCGGAUUGGCGAAUGCAUAUUUCAAACCCUUAUAUGUCGGUGGACAGAAUUGAAAAGAGGAAACGGUGAAUAACCUUCUAAAGAGGAUUUUGUGGCUUGAUUUCUUAGAUCGUUCAAGAAUGUUUAGCGAUUGUUCGGGCUUUCGAAGUAAUCUCUUGUAGAUCUACGAUUUGAAAAGCUAUUGAUCUAUCUUCUUAGAAUUUCAUUGACAAGAUGAUCGGAAAUACAAACUUUCAAAGGAACAAGCGGGUCGUGUAUGGCCGGUCUAUCGGAGUUAAGGGCAUAUCCAAAUCCCGCUUCAACGGAACUCUUGCUUCUCGUUGCGUCAAAAAUUUAUGCGGAAUCUAUGGCUAGAUUUGCCGCUCCUUCGAUUUACUUAGCUUGUAUGAUAGUUUUGUUAGUUUUCUAGAUCUACAAAUUGAAAGAUCAUAUUUUAAUUUUGUGAUAUGACUUUCUUUAUGUAAUUUAAUCUUGAUUAAUGAAUUCUAA